ACAUGAGUAGCGACAAAGAGUGUGAGAGACACUCUCGCCGAAAGUCCAAGGGUUCCUGCUUAAAGCUAAUCUGAGCAGGGUAAGCCGGCCCCUAAGCCGAGGCCGAAAGGCGUAGGCGAUGGGAACCACGUUAAUAUUCGUGGGCCAGAUGGAAGUGACGGAUCUCGAAGAUUGUUCCUCCUUAUCGGAUUGGAGGGGCCGUUCAGAGGUUCCUGGAAAUAGCUCCAUCAUCAGACCGUACCCUAAACCGACACAGGUGGACUGGUAGAGAAUACCAAGGCGCUUGAGAGAACGAUGUUGAAGGAACUCGGCAAAAUACCUCCGUAAGUUCGCGAGAAGGAGGCCCGGUUCCUAGGCAACUAGGGGCUGGGGGCACAAACCAGGGGGUGGCGACUGUUUAUUAAAAACACAGGGCUCUGCGAAGUCGCAAGACGACGUAUAGGGUCUGACGCCUGCCCGGUGCCUGAAGGUUAAAAGGAGGGGUGAGAGCUCUGAAUUGAAGCCCAGGUAAACGGCGGCCGUAACAAUAACGGUCCUAAGGUAGCGAAAUUCCUUGUC
rnacentral:rRNA from 1 species